CACAGUCUCUGACAGCUAUGGCAAACUUGUUUUAUUACUGAUAUAACUCUCUGGCACAGUUUGCAAUUUAGCAUUCAAACAAACAAACAAACAAACAAACAAAACAAACAAAACCCCCAGCUGCUUAACAUUACAAACAUUCACUUCAGCACCUUGCUCGGCCUGGGAAUACAGAGAUGAAAGUUCAACACCUGCUUCCUGAAAUUCCAGAGUCUGGAAGAGGGGUGUGAUUUAAACUAUUUAAGUUAUUUCAGCAUAGAGUGCUUAUUUGUUUUAACGGACUGGAGGGCUUGGAUUAGAGGGUCCUGAUAUUCAUCCUGGAUUGUCAGUUAACAUUUGCAAAACCACUCCUGGAUAUAGACAGUCAUUGGUUAAUGCUGAAAGCUUCUAGUAAGAAACCUCAGGUAAGCCCAGGAUCCUUAUCUCUCUUCAAAUCCAGAGAGUUUGGUGAUUAGCAUAAUAGAUAUUAGAAAUGACUCCAGUAUUAGAAAAGAGUGGUGAGUAAGCUAUGUGGUUUGGCUAGAUAUCAAACAGGGAGCACUGCUCUUACGUGAGCACAUACACAGAAGUCCAGUGAACCCAGUGGCCUGUACUCUUCGGGAUGGUACCCUAGGCCUUAAGGUUCCUGCUGGUUCUGCGAUUAGUCCCCUCUAAGGGAAUUCUGUCGUCUGAUCUCAUCUAGGUUAAAAGGAAUACUAAAACCAUAUUAGCACUUCUGCCUGGAAUAAACCUUUCAUAACAGGUGCUUGUCAGAGUUUCUAAAUGAAUGGAGAGUAGAGAUUCCUUCCAGUUUAGAAAACAGUCUCUAAGACUAUUUUUGUGUGUGUGGCAGAGCUCAGUCUGAGUUUUGUUUUCAUAGUAACAUGCCAUCUGGAAGCUGUUUUGGGGGAGUAGAUCAACAGUACUUACUUAUCUGUAGCUGCAAACGUGAGCAGUAUCUCUCAAAAAGAGCCUAAUACCUAAACAACUGAAUUGGCUCAGGUGGGUCAUGACAGGAGACAGUCACACAAAGGCAUCCGGGACAGUGUAAUAAACACAACAGAGUCUUAUACAAGGUAUCCAGACAGCAAAGAUGAUCAACGCACUCAUGGGAAUGGGGCGGCAGAAAAUACUUUAUGGAGAAAGUGACAAAUGAGCAGAAUUUUGAAGGAUAAAAAUAGAACUUGUCCAGAGUAGGGGGAGAUUCUGAGUAAAGGAAACACAAUAUUUGGAAAAAGCAGCAACAAAUACGGCACCCUGAGAGGACCACAAACAGGUGAGCACCGCUGGAACAUGAAGUGGUGGGGCGGGACGGGGGGAGAUGAGGCAGGAUAGACGGGCAGGGGCCGGCGGAGAGGCUCUCAACGACUUGCACAGGAGUUUGUUUUACAAGCCAGUGUAGCCAAAUGUGUUCAGUAAGAAUCAUUUGGUCUACUUCUUAAAAUAUGGUUCCAAACCCCAUACUUGAAAUCUUGAUUUAGUAAGUAUGGGAUGAGGCCUACGAUCUCAGAAUUUUAAACAAGCACUCCAUAGGAUUCUGAUUAUCAAAGGGCCAAAUUUCAAAUAUAAUAGUAGCAAAAUAAUCAUAUUUCAACUUUCCAAACAUCACUCAGGCUACUCAUAGGGGAUGGAGUGGAUGACCUGGGAUUAGAGGUUACUGACAUGCACGUGAGAGAUGCGAGCCCGGAUGAAGGGGCACAGGAAUGGAGAGGACAGGAAAACUAAGGCAAAAUUAAGACUGUGAAACAGACAGGGUUUGGUGCAGUGACAAAGAAGGAAGAACGCAUUAAAAAAACAACAACAACAACCUUAAAAAUAUCAACUAUUUGUUCAUUCAUUCAACAACUAUUUUCUGAGCAUUUACUAUAUGUCGGACACUGUUCUAGAUCUUGGGGGUACAAUAAUGAACAGACAGAUUAAAAAAGGGACUGCCUUCAGGGAACAUAUUCUGUUAGGAGGAGAAAGGACAAACAAAAUAAUUAAGUCAACACAGAGCACAAUAAAUAGUACGUGAGACGAUAAGCAUUGUGAAAAAAAAAACCAGGAAUGGGGACUACAACGCUGGGGUUAUAAUUAUUAAUGGGGUGGUCAGGCAGACCUCUCUGAGAAGCUGACGUCUGAGCAAAUCUGAAAGAGAUGAGGAACUGAAUGUUCCAGGCACAGUGUGCCUGGCCUGUCGGAGGGAAAGGAGCGUCAGUGUACCUGGAGAGGAGAGCAAAGCAGGGGACAGUGGGAGAUGAGGUCAGAGGCGAAGAGCUGGAGGCUGCAGACACCACUGAAAGGACUAAGUGAGAGAGAGGUCGCUGGAGGGCUGUGAGCAAUUUGGCUGCCACACGGAGCAAUGGCUGGAAAACCACCGCCCACUGCCCGUUUCUAAAGUCUGCAACCCCUGAUGCGGAAAACAGACUGAAGGCUGGCCAGAGUGGGAGGCAGGAGGUGCGUCAGAAGGCUACUGCAGUAACUCAGGUGAAGGACGCUGACGGCUUGGACCAGUGGCAGAGAACCAAGCACUUCUGAAAAGCUUUUGUGGCGUGACUGACAGAGAUUCAAGUUGCAGCAUUUGUGAGAGGACAAGUUUACUGGGAGAGAACUCCAGUUUACAGGACUUGCAUACAGUGCAUCUCAUUUCAGUCCUGCAACGGCUCCAUGAGUCAUGCAGGAAAGCGACUAUCUACAUUUUACAAAUAAACCUAUCUGGGCCUUGUUUUAAGUGCUGAAGGGUUUAAUAUGCCUCUCCGUACCACUGCACGGGAAUGUAAUCAAUGUAAGAGCCAGAUCUGGUCUUAGAACAUAAUUAUGGCCCGGUUCAAAUAAAGUUAACCUCUAUUCUACUUUUAUCACUUGGAGUGAGUUUAAUGCUCUUUUAACGUUCUUUGCUUUUCACAUCACCCUUAAGAUACCUGCUUAACUAUUUAUAAAUUGCCAUAUCUAGACACCUUUAUAAUACUUAUUUUAUGGGUUUUCCGAUCAGAUUUUGGACUCCUACAGGGCAUGAACCAGGCUUUACUAAUCUGUGCCAAACACAAGUGCUCAACUAUGUGCUGAGUAAAUCAAUUAAUGACUAAGGUGGGAGGUUGGGAAUAAUGUAAACAACUUUAAUACAUUUAAAAUAGAAGUUGAGUUUUACCAUCUAUGCUAAAGGUUGACAGAGUAUUAUUAGGUCAUAAGAAAUAAAUUUGAAGUUCAACGGCUUUCUACUUGCAAGGGAUGACAAAAAUAACAUACACACCACACACACACACACACACACACACACGCAGGGUUACUAAAUUAAGCCUACAGACUGGUUUUCAUUCAGUACCAUGUGACUUUAUUUUGGCCCUAGGCGUCACUUAUUUUUAAGAAUGUUCAAGUGUACCUAGUGAGUGUUUUAGAAAAACAGUCUAAAAGGAAUACAAGAUUUCCAUAACAACUAUUAAGAACUCAAGUUCUCUAAACCCUUACGCCUAGUGCUUCCAGGCAUAUUGCCAGUAACCAAGUACUGACAUCCAGGGUUUCCAACCCUUGUUCCCACUGGCCUCCAGAACAGGCAUCUGUGCCACUCUGCUGCUUCUCCCCUAUUCUUCAGAGCCACCUAUUUCUUUGAGCUCCAGUUUUCUGCUGGCCCAGGUUAAUCUUUAUGUCACAAUGUUGACUGAAUCCUGUUAAUAACAGAUCUAUCCAGCUCAUCUGAUCAACAUCAUUAUGUGUAAAUCUACUGUAGGCAGAAUUUUACCAACUGUUAUUCAAUAUUAUCUCUACAUACGCUGCUGACGAAAGAGGAAGUUUUGGUUUGGUUCUGGAGGGUGAUGGGGCCCAGUGACUCCAACCAAAGUGACUGAUGGGCUAUGAGAUGGGCCACUGCUAUAAGGAUGUGAUUAAUUUGCAGAGAAUGUUGCAAGAAGUCUUAAGAUGAGGCUCCACUUUUGUAUACAAUUUGAGAGAAUUUUAAGUAAAUUAAUUAUGAAGAACCAACCAGAUACACCUUGAAAAAAUUCUCAUAUAUAUUUGAUUGAUAAGAUGGUGAAACAUGAGCUGGACAAACUAACAGGCUGCUUCUCUAUAAAUCCCACAUCUGGCCCCUGUCUGCCUAGAGAUUCUAUUCUGUGUUUAGCCUCUACCUAAUCUACCUUUUCAUCAAUUUUUUUUUUUUUUGGUGUAAACAUCUCAUAUCUUAAAAGGCUUUGCAGAGGACAGUACUGCAACAAUACAAACUUUUCUUCUCCCAAACACUUAACAUACAAACCAAACCACAAUGGUUAAAAUUACCUAACAGAAUUUAAAACAAACAGCAGAAGUGUGAGAAUAGUUUAUAUGAUUCUCAAAUGUUACUUCCCAUUUC